rnacentral:rRNA from 1 species
UACGUAGGGCGCAAGCGUUAUCCGGAAUUAUUGGGCGUAAAGAGCUCGUAGGCGGUUUGUCGCGUCUGCCGUGAAAGUCCGGGGGCUCAACUCCGGAUCUGCGGUGGGUACGGGCAGACUAGAGUGAUGUAGGGGAGACUGGAAUUCCUGGUGUGAGCGGUGAAAUGCGCAGAUAUCAGGAGGAACACCGAUGGCGAAGGCAGGUCUCUGGGCAUUAAACUGACGCUGGAGGAGCGGAAAAGCAUGGGGAGCGAACAGG